rnacentral:rRNA from 1 species
CAGCGAUAAGGGAACCUCGAGUGCCAGGUUACAAAUCUGGCUGUCGAGAUGCCUAAAAAGCAUUUCAUAGCAAGGGCGGGUCAAGACCGGUGCCAGCCGCCGCGGUAACACCGGCGGCUCGAGUGGUAACCGUUAUUAUUGGGUCUAAAGGGUCUGUAGCCGGCCGGCUAAGUCUCUUGAGAAAUCUGGCAGCUUAACUGUCCGGCUUUCAGGAGAUACUGUCUGGCUCGAGGCCGGGAGAGACAAGAGGUACUUCAGGGGUAGGGGUGAAAUCUUGUAAUCCUUGAAGGACCAACCGUGGCGAAGGCGUCUCACACGAACGGACCUGACGGCAAGGGACGAAAGCUAGGGGCACGAACCG